UCCUAGUUGGUCCAGUGGUCAGGAUUUGUCGCUCUCACCGACAAGGCCCGGGUUCGAUCCCCGGACUGGGAA
rfam:Lobosporangium transversale strain NRRL 3116 BCR41scaffold_14, whole genome shotgun sequence.